AUGCGGCCGCUGACAUCACAAUAGCAGCGCCCUAGGCUGGAUUGUGAAUUCAUGCAUAGAACCAGACCUGCUCUACACCUAAUGCCAAAAAAAGCCUGCAAAGUUCUCCUCUGCUACAAAGCAACACAAAAAGCGCUCCUAUUCCAUCACUUGUUGCUCAAGGCAUGUAAGAGUAGAAACACACUGAGCCCCUAGAGCCCACACUGAGAAGCUGAGCACUGAGAAGGGACCAGGAUGUGAGGAGCCGCAGUAGUGGUCUUUGACCACUAUUUCUGCUGAGCAAAAACCAGAAAGCUUGUUCCUUUGUUCUAGAAAUCAGAAAACAAGGAGAAGCACUGCUUUAAUUACAUUUAGAGGUUUUUCCUAGCAGAACCAGGCAAGCCAGAGUGGUGACACUGAUCCCAAGUGAGUCCAGCCAAGCCAAGUGGAGCCCAGCAGGGUGGUAGGAAGAGGCAGCAAAGUGGCAGAUCCCAUUCCCACACACAUGCCCAGCAUGGCAGACUGAUGGCAGGGGCAGUGCCAAACAGAGCUCUGCAGGGACAGAGAGACACCCAUCACCAUCGCCACUGCCACCAUCCCUGCUGCAGAGAGGGAGCAGGAAACUGCCACUGCAGGUGCACAGCUGCUCCAGGCAGCACCAGCAGCCCCCAUCUACCAUCAGAACCAUUCUGAGAGAGAGGAGAGGCUUUACAAGGACUACCUCAAGAAGAGGACAUAGAAUGGAGGGAAGGCCUUAGAAAGAAUAAACAACCCUCAUGCUGCCGCUUUUGCAAGGAAUAAAUAUCCAAGUUUCUUAAUAUCCAGCCACAAAUCUGUGGAGUCUUGACAACCAAGAAGCACAGGAACCUGGACACCUUGUUGUGAGAGACUAGAGGAGAUUGCUGGCUCAACACUUUUCAGGGGCUUGUAUGUGGGGAAGGGGGCAGAUCAAGGCUUGCUCUGGUGAGGCCAUGCCCCACUCUGCACGCCCCACACCCCCAGGCCUGUAUCCCAGCCCAGCAGUGGCCACUGAUCCCUGGCACACCAGAGGCAAUGCUCCACACCUGUGUCUGGAGCCCCUAACCCAGCUCCUAAAUGGCCAGGUGAGUGGGAGCCCCAUGUGGGGGAAGGCCCCAGGAGAGCCAAAGGCUAUUUACCUUGGGAUAUGUGGCCACCACAUGUCUUGACCCUACCUCUUCUUGGAAUUUCUAUCAGCUGAACACCACUGGAACCAGGAGUGAUAGCUUUGUUGGUUCUUUUAUGUCAUUCUCUCUUUCUCUUUCUUCUCCCUUUUCCCUCCUCUCAGAUUUUUGAAUAACUUAAAAUGUAACAGGUUUAGUAAUCUAAAUGUAAAUUAACUUGCAGAGAUUAUAAAUUGAAUGGGCUAAAUUAAUGCUUCAUGGAAUGUUUUAUGUUGAUUGAAUCCUGCUCUAAAUUAUUUUUGCCUUUCAAGUUCUCUGAUUUUCAAACGUUGCCAAUGAAGGGUUUUUAUGUUGUUCCGAACUCUUGAGAACAUCUCAUCAGUAUUUCUCCUGCUUUUCUAACUUACAGUACAUGAACAAGUUUAAAUCCUUUUAAAGUAUCUCAUAGAGCAAUGUUUUUGGAGGCUUGCAUUUUAAUUGGCACAGCAAGCAGGGUACUCUUGAGGUGAUAUGGGCCUUUUAUACAGCAUUAACUGUUCAUGACAUAAUAAAGGAGAAUAAAUUUUCAGUCAAAGCUGCUCUUUUCUGGCAGAAAAGUAAUAGAAUCCCACGCAGAAACUGAUCUGAACUGCUCUCCAGUGACGCACUUGCUAAAAGCUUAUAUAGAAAGCUUGUCCAGCCCUAAAGAGAGAUGGGGAUGGAGAGAAACUAGCACCAUCCACAGUUACUUGUGGAGAAACAUGAAAUUUGGUAGAAGAAAAUUAAAAACUCCAAGUAAAGGACCAUGCCUGGUAUCCAUAUGCAUGGAGGUUUGACUCAGAGCUGUAUGGUGCCCAUCAGCUGGAAAAGGAGCUGCAUCAGCUGCAAAUUGCUGAGCCUGAAACAAUAGCCAGCCUCAGGCCAGAGUAGGAAUUGAAUGCCAGGAUGAAGCCAGCCCCCAAACCAUGAGAAACCAGUGAAACACGCUCCUCCAAAGCCAAAGAGCUUUAGAGUUGCAAUUUAACACUGCUGGGGAAGGCCUGGAAGCAGUGUUUUCCAUAGCCCAGGAACAGCCAGGCCUUCCUGACUGCAAGGUCAGCCCCACAGCCCUUGGGAGGGCUUUAGUGCCUCAAAGUCCAACCCCGCGCCUCACCCUAAACUCUGCCCACCCCUAUAAAAUACAGAGGCAGGAUGCCCCGAAGAUGAUGUCACCUUCCUCUGCUCCCUGGAGGAGAGGUUCGGCUCUGCAAAGCCAAUCUUCUUCCCUCCUCAUCCCAAGGCCUGCUCACUGAUAAAGAAGGAAUUGGCUUAUCAGGAUGCAGUGUCUGCAGUGAUACCUCAUUCUGCAGCAGAAGUGGUUGAACUACACGGGAAAAUAAGCAAUGAUCGCAAAGAAAGGGAAAUGGAGAAUGUUUUGCGAAUUUGGAUUUGGGGGAAUGAAAUAGAACUUUUGGAGAAGGAAGCACAUGGUGAAAAUCCCUGGUCUUUUGCCUGGGGAACAACCUGUGAUGUGACAAGUUUGGACCCCUUACAGGGGAGAGAACCCCAAGCAAUGCAUGAGAAACAGCUGAUGCCCGUUGACCUUCUUCUGUGUUAUUGUAAGUUAUUUCAACAUUCAAGGAUCAAAACUGAGAAAACAAAAUCUUGGCACCACCUCCAAAAAGUUAUGGUUGUUGAUAGAAGGUGGUGGAUUGAAAUAUCCCCAGAGGCUCUCUGGAAAGAAAAUGGGGAUUAAAUGGGGACUCAGUUUCCCUGGAUUCUUAAUGAAGCUUUGCAAACUGCUCCUGCCCUGCCUCCUUCUGGCAGCCCUGGCUAUUGAGCCUUCUCUGCCACCAAAGGCUGGAAGCCAAAAUGCUGCUGCUAAAGCAUAACCCUUAGGAGAAAAUGAUUUUAUCAUCGUGCAAGUUUGUUUUGGUCUCACUAAUAAGCCUGAAUGUUCAAGAAUGUCCUCACUAGUCAGGAGACUGGGUGUACAUCCAGACCCAGAAAGGAGAGCCACUUAACCAGAAGUGGAAAGGACUUUUGAUCCCAUGGCUGUGAGAUUUACAGCUGGACACUCCUAAAUUAUGUGAUUAAAGUUAGCUCUGGACACAUGGAAUUGUAUUGGACAGUCCAGUAAAUGUAACUCUGCUGCAAAUAAAGCUGCAAUGGAACAUUUCUAAAGUGAAAAACAUUAAAUGGUUUCUCUUUCUGCCCAUUUCCAGAGCAGUGUCCCUGGUAUGGCAGCAUGGCUGUUUGUUCCUGAAUUAGUCAACCAUCCUAGCAGGACCAUGUACCUAAUGACUACAAUAGCAAGUAUGGCUUUGAGUGCCAGAGGGAAAAGGAAAGAAGGCCAGAAGUUUCUCUCAAGGAUUAGGUGAAAAGCCACCUCAUGGGACCUCAGGGACUUCACCAAAUACUUGAGGACAUCUAAUUGGAUAGAAGCCAAAAAGUGCCGCUUGAUCCAUCAGGGAGAAAAAGAAGAGAAGAAAAGAGCUAAGUGCUUUUGUGAAGUGUUUUUACCAGGAGCGGACUGCUGCACCUGGCUCGAGUUUUUCUCUUUGUUAUUAUACCUUUUAUUCAACCUUUUUGUUUCUAACACUGCAGCAGAAGUCAUCCUGCUAACUUUAUGCCCCCAGAGUAAUAGAUAAGCUGUUCUUGGGUGUAUUAUAUUUCUUUUGAGGGCUUAUGAGACCUGGCUAAGAAAAAGAAACAUAAUAGAGCAGAGCUGGGCAGCAGCUGGGGGUACUACAGUGCACUCACAGCCACCUGCCAACACAGCUGGCCAAAACUAAAACAAGCACAACCAAAAACCCAAACACUACAGGUGCUUGGCCUAAUAGCCUGGUUACUAAUAACAUAAGAAAACAACUAUUAAAUAUGACACCUGGGACACCAGCUGGCCAGAGCCAAUUCCCAGCUAUCCCAUAACUUGCCUUUCUGUGCAAACACAGAGGUUUCAGUUGCCCACCUUUCAGAGAGAGGAGCCUGCCAGACCAGGUUGAACAUUCAGCAAUGUCUACUUGAAUGAUCUCAAGCUUUCAGUCCAGAAGCCCAAGCUUAUGAAGUGUGAUUCUUCUUUUAAUUUCCUAGAUUCAAAACUGAUUAUUCAGCUCUACGCAUGAGGCAGUUCUCCAGAUCUAUUGAGGACAUGGAAUGGUUUGGAAAGCAAACUAAGGAACAAGGUACAGACCCAAAUUUUAUAGGACCAGGGAGAAAAUGCUAAGAGCAAAAAGGGCAAUUGUGUUUUUAUUCCAUUGUUCCUAGCUAUAUCUUGCAAUUGCUGUGGGGUAGUUAAGAGUUUAUUCAGGUUGACAACUUGAGUCAAAAGUUUAUUUCAUUCCUGAAGCUGCAGACUUGAAAUGCUUCAAGUUCUUCCAUCCCAGGGGAAUCCUGUAUGCAAAAUACUUGAAAACACAUUUUUUAUCAGAAAGAAAAAGAGAUUUAAGCAUUGUUGCAAGUGUUUUAUAUAUUAAUAGAAAUCUCAAACUACUAGGUUAAUUCCUGAGACUAUUUUUAUCUUUUGCUCUUGUGCUUAUUGUUGUCUUAUUCCAUAUUCUCUUACUGCUUGUAACCCACACUAAUUCUAUCUCACUGCAUGCAAUAAUAAAGCAAAGAAUUACCUAAGGGAUGAGAAGAACACAUUCCUCACUAUCUUGCAUAAGGAUGAAAACGGAACAUUUCAGGGACUUCAACAACUCAUUUCUCUGAAUAGGACCAAAGAAAUAAAAGGCAGCCAGCUUUAACCACUCCACAAAUUCCAGCUCAAGUAAGAAGCUCACAAAGGGCACUAAGGCAGGGAGACAUGUGGACACAUGCACACCAUCACCUCAUCUGACAAAAAUGAACGUGUUUCACAGCACCAGGCAGUUCAUGGAGCCAAACUCCUUCCCCAGCCCCAUGGGAAAGCAGUGUCAAGGCACAGGAACCGGGAAGUGUCCCAGGGGGCAGAGAUAAUGCUGGCAGCAUUUGAGCCAGCAGCACUGGCUCAGACACACUGAAGUUCAGCUGUUGCUGUGCAGCAGUUUCUUCACACUGCUAAGUUUCAUGGGGCUGGCUGUAUUUUUCACAACAGCCACUUCAGUACAGGACUGGUGUAGUGAAAAGUUCUGGAAUUCUGUUUCCUCUCUUGUAAAUUCCUAUUUCUCUUCUUCUUUAGGACACCCACAACUUGAGACACCUCAGGAGGCAACACUGAAUUGCAAGCAGUUCCCAAAGCAAGAUUGUAAAAUAUGCUCUAUGUUUAGAUUAUGUACUAUGGGGAUUUCAAAACUCUCUAUUUCCAAAAACUGUUAUUUUUCCGGUUAAGAAUGCCUGUCAAUUAAAAAGCUUAAACUUGGCCAGUUUUAACUGCAGAGGAGAAUACUCUCUGUCCCAGACUACCAUCCAAACACACCUUUGCUUGGAUACAGCUCUUGGACCUUUUAGGUAGCUUGACUACAGAACUCAAACAUCCAAGAACAGGGGUACAAAUACAAACCCUUAUGUAAACGUCUGGAAGCAGCUAGGAAGUUGCUGGGUUGUUCUCAUUCUGUAGGAAGAAUUAACACAGCAGUAAUAGAAAUCACCCUUCUCCAGAAGCAGCUCUCACAGCUAGCACACUCAAGACUGCAGCACAAGCAGUUCCUAGGUGUGGAAUCUAGUUGUUACGUGCCACCAAUAGCAUGUGGAACUGCUGCAGGAAAACACCACAGACACUUUUUCUUCUCUUUUUCUUUCAGUUCCGAAGAGAGUCAUAAAACCUGGCUGGCUGCCUGGGUAGCUAUGUUAACACUAAAAACACGGACCAGCAGAAAUUGCAAUCACACCACUACAAUCUUCCACAGAGGAGGGCAAUCCUACAGAUCAGAGUAUGGUCAAAUUGGCCCCGAAUUCUCAUUGUGUCCAUCUACUCUGGAUCCCCUUACUUGGCAUUUUUGUUUCUCAGCCCUCACAGAACUGACAGCUGAGAAAAAGAGAAAAAAACAUGAACAGUCCUUGGGUAAGUGCAAUACUGGACUGUCAGGAAAUAAAAAUAGUUGAUAGCAUCUGUAUCAGGUAUUGUUUUUUUACUCUCUACCAGUGUCCAUUUCAGGUAUCCUGAUAGCAUGAUUUAGGAUUUUGCAGCUAAAUACAAUGGGCUGCAAUUUGAGACGCCUACAAAAAAUAAAACCUUAUCAGACUUGGUUUUCCCCCAAAUGACAGUUGCAAAUUAGAAAAUGAAAGGGUCUAGAAAUA